AGAGUUUGAUCCUGGCUCAGAGCGAACGUUAGCGGCGGGCCUAACACAUGCAAGUCGAACGAGAAUGUAGACUUCGGUCUACUAGUAAAGUGGCGGACGGGUGCGUAACACGUGGGUAAUCUACCUUCCGGCGGGGGACAACAGUCCGAAAGGAUUGCUAAUACCGCAUACGUCAGCGGCGCCUACGGGCGCUGUUGGGAAAGAUGGCCUCUCCUUGGAAGCUGUCACCGGAAGAUGAGCCCGCGUCCCAUCAGCUAGUUGGUGAGGUAACGGCUCACCAAGGCUUAGACGGGUAGCUGGUCUGAGAGGAUGAUCAGCCACACUGGGACUGCGACACGGCCCAGACUCCUACGGGAGGCAGCAGUGGGGAAUAUUGGGCAAUGGGCGGAAGCCUGACCCAGCCACGCCGCGUGAGUGAUGAAGGCCUUCGGGUCGUAAAGCUCUGUGGGGAGGGACGAAUAAGCCUGGUGUUAAUAACACCGGGCCCUGACGGUACCUCCUUAGCAAGCACCGGCUAACCCUGUGCCAGCAGCCGCGGUAAUACAGGGGGUGCAAACGUUGCUCGGAAUCAUUGGGCGUAAAGCGCACGUAGGCGGUUCGUUAUGUCGGAUGUGAAAGCCCUUGGCUUAACCGAGGAAGUGCAUCCGAAACUGGCGAGCUAGAGUACUAAAGAGGAUCGCGGAAUUCCCGGUGUAGAGGUGAAAUUCGUAGAUAUCGGGAGGAACACCGGUGGCGAAGGCGGCGAUCUGGGUAGAUACUGACGCUGAGGUGCGAAAGCGUGGGGAGCAAACAGGAUUAGAUACCCUAGUAGUCC
rnacentral:rRNA from 1 species